UACGUAGGGUGCAAGCGUUGUCCGGAAUUAUUGGGCGUAAAGAGCUCGUAGGCGGUCUGUCGCGUCUGCUGUGAAAACCUAGGGCUUAACUCUGGGCGUGCAGUGGGUACGGGCAGGCUAGAGUGCGGUAGGGGGAGACUGGAAUUCCCCGGUGUAGCGGUGAAAUGCGCAGAUAUCAGGAGGAACACCCGUGGCGAAGGCGGCUCUCUGGGACGGUACUGACACUGAGACGCGAAAGCGUGGGGAGCGAACAGG
rnacentral:rRNA from 1 species